GUCAUAUGCUUGUCUCAAAGAUUAAGCCAUGCAUGUCUCAGUACAAGCCAAAUUAAGGUGAAACCGCAAAAGGCUCAUUAAAUCAGUUAUGGUUCCUUAGGUCGUACCCACAAUUACUUGGAUAACUGUGGUAAUUCUAGAGCUAAUACAUGCAAACAGAGCUCCGACCGGAGACGGAAGGAGUGCUUUUAUUAGAUCAAAACCAAUCGGUGGCGGGUUCGCGCUCGUCAUCGUACAACUUGGUGACUCUGAAUAACUUUACGCUGAUCGCACGGUCAUCGCACCGGCGACGCAUCUUUCAAAUGUCUGCCUUAUCAACUGUCGAUGGUAGGUUCUGCGCCUACCAUGGUUGUAACGGGUAACGGGGAAUCAGGGUUCGAUUCCGGAGAGGGAGCCUGAGAAACGGCUACCACAUCCAAGGAAGGCAGCAGGCGCGCAAAUUACCCACUCCCGGCACGGGGAGGUAGUGACGAAAAAUAACGAUACGGGACUCAUCCGAGGCCCCGUAAUCGGAAUGAGUACACUCUAAACCCUUUAACGAGGAUCAAUUGGAGGGCAAGUCUGGUGCCAGCAGCCGCGGUAAUUCCAGCUCCAAUAGCGUAUAUUAAAGUUGUUGCGGUUAAAAAGCUCGUAGUCGAAUUUGUGUCUCGCGCCGCCGGUUCAUCGUCCGCGGUGUUAACUGGCGAGUCGCGAGACGUCCUGCCGGUGGGCUUAGCUCGCGAGGGCGGCCCAACUCAAUCCUGCCGCGGUGCUCUUCAUUGAGUGUCGAGGUGGGCCGGCACGUUUACUUUGAACAAAUUAGAGUGCUUAAAGCAGGCUAAAACUUCGCCUGAAUACUGUGUGCAUGGAAUAAUGGAAUAGGACCUCGGUUCUAUUUUGUUGGUUUUCGGAACCCCGAGGUAAUGAUUAAUAGGAACGGAUGGGGGCAUUCGUAUUGCGACGUUAGAGGUGAAAUUCUUGGAUCGUCGC
rnacentral:rRNA from 1 species